rnacentral:rRNA from 1 species
GAUAAACGCUGGCGGCGAGCCUAAUGCAUGCAAGUCGAACGGGAGCCACUUCGGUGGUCGACCGUGGCGGACGGGUGAGGAACACGUAGCUAACCUGCCCAGUUGUGGGGGAUAUGCACCGGAAACGGUGCGCAAUACCGCAUGAUGUCAAUCCUCGGGAGGGGAUUGAAGAAAGCCGAAAGGCGCAAUUGGAGGGGGCUGCGGCCGAUUAGCUAGCUGGUGGGGUAACGGCCUACCAGGGCGAUGAUCGGUAACUGGUCUGAGAGGACGGCCAGUCACACGGGGACUGAGACACGGCCCCGACUCCUACGGGAGGCAGCAGCAAGGAAUUUUCCACAAUGGACGAAAGUCUGAUGGAGCUACGCCGCGUGCGGGAUGACGCCUUUCGGGGUGUAAACCGCUUUUCAUGGGGACGAAUCAAAUGACGGUACCCAUGGAAUAAGGAUCGGCUAACUACGUG